rnacentral:rRNA from 1 species
UACGUAGGCAGCGAGCGUUGUUCGGAGUUACUGGGCGUAAAGGGUCCGUAGGCGGUGUAGCAAGUCGGAAGUGAAAUCUCUGGGCUUAACUCAGAGGCUGCUUCCGAAACUGCUGUGCUAGAGUGCGAGAGAGGCGAGUGGAAUUGCGGGUGUAGCGGUGAAAUGCGUAGAUAUCCGCAGGAACAUCCGAGGCGAAAGCGGCUCGCUGGAUCGCAACUGACGCUGAGGGACGAAAGCUAGGGGAGCAAACAGG